rnacentral:rRNA from 1 species
GACGAACGCUGGCGGCGUGCUUAACACAUGCAAGUCGAACGGUAAGGCCCUUCGGGGUACACGAGUGGCGAACGGGUGAGUAACACGUGGGUGAUCUGCCCUGCACUUCGGGAUAAGCCUGGGAAACUGGGUCUAAUACCGGAUAGGACCACUGCCUGCAUGGGUGGUGGUGGAAAGCUUUUGCGGGGUGGGAUGGGCCCGCGGCCUAUCAGCUUGUUGGUGGGGUGAUGGCCUACCAAGGCGACGACGGGUAGCCGGCCUGGGAGGGUGACCGGCCACAGUGGGACUGAGAUACGGCCCAGACUCCGACGGGAGGCAGCAGUGGGGAAUAUUGAACAAUGGGCGCAAGCCUGAUGCAGCGACGCCGCGUGAGGGAUGACGGCCUUCGGGUUGUAAACCUCUUUCAGCACCGACGAAGCGCAAGUGACGGUAGGUGCAGAAGAAGGACCGGCCAACUACGUGCCAGCAGCCGCAGUAA